UACGGAGGUUGCAAGCGUUAUCCGGAAUGAUUGGGCGUAAAGCGUCCGCAGGUGGCUAUGUAAGUCUGCUGUUAAAGAGUGAGGCUCAACCUCAUAAGAGCAGUGGAAACUACAUGGCUAGAGUGCGUUCGGGGCAGAGGGAAUUCCUGGUGUAGCGGUGAAAUGCGUAGAGAUCAGGAAGAACACCGGUGGCGAAAGCGCUCUGCUAGGCCGCAACUGACACUCAUGGACGAAAGCUAGGGGAGCGAAUGGG
rnacentral:rRNA from 1 species